rnacentral:rRNA from 1 species
CGAGUAGAGCGGCGGACGGGUGAGUAACGCGUAGGAAUCUACCUAGUAGAAGGGGAUAGCCCGGGGAAACUCGGAUUAAUACCGUAUACCUCCUUAGGGAGAAAGAGGGCUUAGCUUUGAUGCUCUCGCUAUUAGAUGAGCCUGCGUAAGAUUAGCUUGUUGGUGAGGUAAUGGCUCACCAAGGCGACGAUCUUUAGCUGGUCUGAGAGGACGAUCAGCCACAUUGGGACUGAGACACGGCCCAGACUCCUACGGGAGGCAGCAGUGGGGAAUAUUGGACAAUGGGCGCAAGCCUGAUCCAGCCAUACCGCGUGUGUGAAGAAGGCUUUCGGGUUGUAAAGCACUUUAAGUAAGGAGGAAAAGAUUGUAGCUAAUACCUGCAAUCCGUGACGUUACUUACAGAAUAAGGACCGGCUAAUUCCGUGCCAGCAGCCGCGGUAAUACGGAAGGUCCAAGCGUUAAUCGGAAUUACUGGGCGUAAAGCGCGCGUAGGUGGUUUUUUAAGUUGGAUGUGAAAGCCCUGGGCUCAACCUAGGAACUGCAUCCAAAACUAGAUGACUAGAGUACGAAAGAGGGAAGUAGAAUUCACAGUGUAGCGGUGGAAUGCGUAGAUAUCAGGAGGAACACCAAUGGCGAAGGCAACAUUCUGG